GAAUAGAGAUGAGCGAAUUUCAUGACUCCCCUCCAUAACGGAAACGGGACGGAUCUGUUUUGCCGCCCAUAGACUUAUUAUGACGAAAUGAAUAACGGAAUACCUCUAAAGGCAUUUCAUAUAAUUGUGGUA